UGUUAAAAUUUUCAUUCAUUUUUACUAUUAAAAAUUGACAACAUAACCAAACAAUAACACAUUACAUGCCAUGUAUAUAUCAUACUGGCAUAAAGAGACCAAUUUUUACCAAUAAAAAUUAAUAAAAUUUUUAACA
rnacentral:pre_miRNA from 1 species